rnacentral:rRNA from 1 species
AAUCAACGCUGGCGGCGUGCCUCAGACAUGCAAGUCGAACGCGAAAGGUUCCUUCGGGGACCGAGUAGAGUGGCGCACGGGUGAGUAACACGUAGGUAAUUUGCCUUUGGGUGGGGAAUAACUCAGGGAAACUUGAGCUAAUACCGCAUAAUGCAGCGGCUCGACAUCGAGACAGUUGUUAAAGCGGGGGAGUUCGCAAGAACCUCGCGCCUAAAG